CUGGUCCAGUUGCUGGUGCGCCAAUGGCAUUUUCAUUCGGGCUUGCAAGUUUCCACGCAUAACCAUAGAAAGGCAAACCUAAAACCAACUUACUAGCCGGUAAUCCUCCAUUAAUCCAUGCUCUUAUUCCAAAAUCAGUGUUAACAUCACUAUCAGGAUCAUACAAAGCUGCAAAAGCAGCCGUGAAGUUAGCCCAUGUAGGCAUGAAGUAGUCAAAAGCCAGCACAUGAGUCCAAUUCAAAUUCUUCCGUAUAGAGUCUAUAGGGAAACUCCCGGAAUCCAGUCUUGGCGAGUACUGAACGGCUGCUGUCAGGAUGAGUUCUGACAGGCUAGAGUUUCUUCCCUCCAAAGCAAUAGCAGCACGCCACUCUUCGAAGAGGGUACCCAUACUGUCCAUGUUAUCGCUUGUGCUGGCCGAAACCCAGCUGAAGUCUAGCCCUUGAAAGCCAUAAUGCCUCGCUAUUUUUAUUGAGUCAUCUAUGAAAAACUUCCUGUAAGUAGAAUUGCCUGCCAUUGCAGAGAGUGUUGAAUAGUUUGUGCUUCCUCCUCCAAUGGAUAGUAAGGUAGUGAUCGAUGGAUUCUUCUGUUUUACGGUGUUUGUGAAGGCAGAGAAGAGUGGGUCAUCUGAGGAGGAGAUAGACAGGUGAUACGAAGAUGAAUUAAGGCCAGCAAAAGCACAAAUAAGGUGAGUAUAGAGGGUAGAAUUUAUGUCAGAAAUUGGGAGGUCACUGCCAGAAAACCAAUAGCCAGCUUUGAUCCAUGCUUGUGCUUUUGCAGGAUGCAAUUUUAAAGAGAGAAAUACAUGAAAGAGGAUGAUGAUAGUAAUUCUCGAUACCAUUGGAGCUUGCUUGAUAAAAAUACAAGGAAGGCAAAUGUACAAAGACAAAAGCAUGUAAAUGUUCCAGUCAGGACUCGGUUCUCAGUGCCACCGUUACCGCGUUCCCGUAUGUCACGGUUCCGCCAUGCUUUUUUAUUUUAUUUUUUAAAAACAUUUAAAUUAGUAUUUUUUUAAAUGUUUUUUAAUUGUCUUAAUUUAUUGAUUUCAAUAAUAAAAACAUUUUUAAAAAAAAAUAUUAUUUUAAUAUAUUUUAAAAUAAAAAAUAUUUUAAAAAAUAAUAUUUACUAAACUAUCAAACUUGCUUUAAACUAGACUCCAUUAAAACUUUGUAUUUUCUAUUUUAAAAAAUAAAAUAAUUUUAGUUUUAUUUUAAAAUAAAAAUUUUAAAAAAUGUUGUUAACUCAAAUGAAACUUAAUUAAGACACCUCAAUCGUUACCAAAUCGUUUUAGAAACUUGAAAUUGUAAUAACGGUGAUAGUUUAAAAUAUUUUUUGUUUAAAAAUAUAUCAAAAUAAAAAAAAAUAUUUUUUAAAAAAUAUUUUUGACAUUAGUAUAUUAAAAUAAUUUUAAAAAAUAUAAAAAAAAAUUUAAAUAUAAAUAAUUUUAAAAAUAUAGGUGUAUUCAGGAUGCAAUUUCAAUUUUAAAAUAUAAUUUCGAUAGAAAUAAUAGUUUUUCAAAAAUGUAUUAAUGAUAAUAAUAUUUUUUAAUUUUACCCUUCAAAUUAAAUCUAUGGUUGCUUUUCAAUAUUGAUAAUAAUAUUUUUCAAAUUUAUUGAUUAUUUUAUUAAUAAUAUUAUUUAAAAUACAAAUAAAAAUGUUUUUAAUAAUAAAAAUAAGAAUAUUUAUAGAACAAAUAAUAAUAUUUUUUAUAUUAAUACUUUUAAUUAUAAUACAAAUAAUAAUAUUUAGAAAUUUAAGACUCAAGAACCUUGGAUCCUAACACUGCACCCAAGAGAAUUGAAUCUUGAUGCAGGACCCAUUAGUCUUAGGUCGUGACAACAGACCCAACAGAAUUAGAUCCUGACAAUGAAUCCAAGAGAAUUAGGUCCUGAAAAAGCACAUAAGAGAAUUGUGUACCGCGAUCGUGGCUGCAGACCCAAGGUGCAUGGGUCUUGUCAUAAUGACCAAUGCAUGGUAACCCCAGCGCCAGGUGUCUACACCCUCAGGCAUGCUAAGAUACAGGGCCCAACAUUGUUGGGUCCUAAUUUUAAGGCAGGCCUAAAAAAUGUGCGUCCUUCUCGAGGUCGGGCCUAAAAUUGUUGAACGCAACUAGGACCUUCUGCUAAGGCAAGCCCAUAACACAUUAGCUUUAAGUCUUGUAACCAAGCAGGAUCCAAUAACGUUAGGCCUCAUUGUCCUAUUGGAUAUAAGAUCCAUGGCUAUUGGGUUCGGUUGUGUAUCAGCACCCAACACUAUUGGUUCCUACUGGGCACCCAACACUAUUGGUUCCUACUGGGCAGCAAUUCCUACCUCCAGCAGGAAAUUUAAAUUUUAAAAAAUAUGUUGAGAUAAUUUUUUUAUUUUUUAAAAUAUAUUUUUUAUAUCAUCAAAUACAAAUAAUACAAAAACAUCAAAAAAAUAUUAAUUUAAAUUAAAUAAAAAUGUUAAAAAAUUGAAAAAACUUUAAGCAUUUUUUAAUCGAAAAAACAAACAUUCUUUAAUAAAAAAAUUCAACCCAACCUGAAAUGAAAAACAAUUAUCAUAACCCAUCUUUUGCACAAUAUAAAAAAAAGUCUCAUUAAUUUAUUUCUUCUUUACCGUAUGAAAAAUAAAAUUAAAUCAGAGAAAAGAGAAGAAACCUUAGACCCAGUUAUAUUGGAAAUAUCCUAAAAUAUUUUUUAAAAAAAACAUGUAUUGAGAUGAUAUUUUUUUUUUGUAAAAUCUAUUUUUUAUAUCAUCACAUCAAAAUAAUACAAAAACAUCCAAAAAUAUUUAUUUGAAGUAAAGAAAAAAAAUACCAAAUUCUUUUUAAAUAUUUUUUGAAAAGCAAAAACAAACAUGUUUUAAUAAAAAACUUCAACCCAACCUCAAAUGAAAACUAUUAUCACCAGCCAACUUUUGUACAAUAUCAAAAAAGUCUCAUCAAUUUAUUUCCUCUUUACAGCAUGGAAAAAAAAUUAAAUAAGAAAAAUAAUUUAAAGAUAAAAAAAAUAAAAUUGAAAAUAUCUUAAAGAUGAAAAAAAAUUGGAAAUCCUAAACCCAAUGAUAUUGCCAAGCCAGACCCAAUAUAUGAAAAAACAAAUUAGAAAUAUCUUAAAAUAUUUUUGUAAGAAAAUAUAAUGAAAUAAUAUUUUUUAUUUUGUAAAAUCUAUUUUUUUAUAUCUUCACAUAAAAAUAAAAAAAAACAUCAAAAAAAUAUUAAUUUGAAUUAAAGAAAAAGGUUAAAAAUUUUGAAAUGUUUUUUUAAGCAUUUUUUAAACGAAAAAACAAACUUGUUUUAAUAAGGAAGUUUAACCCUACCUUAAAUGAAAAAAAAUUAUCAUCACCUAACUUUUGUACAAUAUAAAAAAUAUCUCACCAAUUUUAUUUUUUUUACCAUAUGAAAAAAAAAAUUAGAGAAAAAAAAAUCACAAACUAAAUAUCCUUGGGUAUGGUUGCGCAGCCACACCCAAGGAUAUUGGGUCCGGCUGCCCAACCAGGCCCAAGAUUGAUAUAUCUUUUGGAAUUGAUUUGGGUCCAGCUGGCCAACCAGACCCAACAUUAUUAUGUUAUAUUAGGCAAGAAGAUCCAAUGUUAUUGACACCUUUUGGAAGUGUUUUGGGUCUAGCUUAGUAGCUGGUUGUAGGGUCCAGCGGCCAAGUCAUACCCAACAACUUUUGGUAGAGAAGGUAAUGCCCCUAGCCGUAAUUCUUAACUAAAAAUGCAACUUCUUGACCAUUUAGAGUGCUAUAGUGUCGUCUGCAGUACAAUGUAUUUGUAUCCACAAUAAAUGCAUAAUACCCCCCCCCCCCGUGUUUUAAUACAUAGCAAAACCCAAACAAUGCAAUACACAAUGAAAUCACUCACAAUCUACAAUAAUUCACUAAUCUUUUUUAGGUUUUUUUAUAAUAUGAACACAUGUAAGUUGUGUGUGGAAAUUUAUGCUAUUUGAUUUUGCUAGUAUCAUAUCAGACCUAAUAAAGCUAUAAAGAUCACAGGGAAUAUUAUAGAAGAAAUUAUUUCUAGAGAUCCCUGUAGAUCAUUCAUAAUGUAUUCUACGACCUUCACUUUUCAGAUUGUAUCAGCUUCCUCUUUAAUAAAUAUCUUAUGGGGUUGUAAAUCUUCUCUUAAAUGAAUGCUUGCACAAAGUCUUUUAGAGAUCCCUAACGGUGUUGUUAGAAGACCCUUCAAAGAUCAAGUCAGUACGAUGUAUUUUGUAUGAUAAAAAGAUAUUAGUAAAGGUAUUAAUGAGCUUUUGUAAAGAUAGAAAAGAAAAAGGAGAAGAAGAUGUAGAUGUAAGGGAAGAAGAGAAUAAAUGUGUUCAUGUCUAAGAGCAUAAGGUUUCGAACCUCUUUUUUGUGUACUCAAGCUUCCUUUUAUACUACAUGUCUUGACUUGCUUCAUACGAUAUGUUAGGGGUAGAAAUGUAAUCUCGUAAUGAUAGAAUAAUAUUAUUAUAUUGUUGAAACUAUCACAUCUCAUUAAUAUAAGCAUGAACUACUUGUUCAUAAUUAAUUGGAUGUGAUGAGUAUCAUAAUCACUAGCCCAAACCUAGAGUAAGGGAGGCUUAGAGUGAUGUUACUUUUCAGCUAUACACUAAACUUAGAUGCAUUUGGGUUCAGUUUGUACAUUCAACUCAAGUGUAUUCGGGUUCAGCAGUACGCCAAAUUCAAUAGGAGUUGGGCUCAGCAUGACGUUGAACCCAAGAGGAAUUGGAUUCAGCGGUACGACGAUCUCAAUAGGAGUUGGGUUCAGCUUUAACCCGAACCCAAGAGAAAUUGGGUCCAAUUAUACACUGAACCCAAGAGGAAUUAGGCGCAUACAUGCCUCAUCCCAACUAGAGUUGGGCGUGAACUUGUCCUAACUCAACUUAGAGUUGGACGUGGAUGCAUCCGGGCCCAACUUUAAGUUAGGCAUGAACAUGUCACAGCUCAAUUUAGAGUUGAAGCUAAACGUAUUCUGCUCCAAUACAAGAUUGGGUGUAGAGAAAACAUAACUUAAUUUUAUAUUCAGAUUUUCAUGUGAUGUGAUGGUGGGAGGUUUUUAGAAAACCAUGACCCAUCAAGCCAUAGAGACCAAACAGCACGGCUGAGAGAAAAAGGCAGGCAAUUACGUGGAGAUGGAGUGUGGGGGCCAGGGUCAUAUCAAUUGCAAUUACUUCUUGGUAGGUUUUGUUUUGUUUCUUCAGAUUUCUAGAUUCAACAUUAAAGGUUCUUAUAAGAAAACAUUGCCAGCCCUCUUGUUUUCUUGGUCUAGCUUGGGCUAAAUGUCAAGGAAAGGGGUAGCUGUCUCCCUUAAUUUCUAGACUCAACAUUAAACGUUCUUUUAUAUAUAUAUAUAUAUAUAUAUAUAUAAAAGUCCUAAUUUGGCCCCUUUCAUUGUUCUCCUUUGCAGUUUUCUCAUGAUUUUGAGACAAUUUAAUCGCAAACCAACAUAGAGAUGCAAAAAUAGAAGUGCCCCUAGCUAGAUCAUUUGUAAUUCCAGAAAGGUAAGAAGUUAAAUUUGAAACAGUAAAUCAUUUUAAUUAGUGGCUUAUAUAUCCAUGUUUAAUAACGUACUUAAAUAAUUUUUUAUAAUUAAAUGAAGCCAGGUGAUAUUUUAUAGUACUUUUUUAAAUAAAUAAGUAUUAAUUAUUAAUUGUUUCCAUAAAAAGUAUGAAAUAUUUAUCUUAAAUUAAUUUAUUAUCCUCUAUUUAUAAAUUAGAUGACCACAUGAGAAUUAUUUUUUUUUUUUUUGAAAAAGUGUAGGUUGAAGAAGACUUAAUUUGAUUUGAUCCGACAGAUAUAUGUAACUUUAAACCAUUAAUGUCUUAGAGAUCUACAAAUAUAAUAACUUAAAGUACACAAACUUAUCAUGGCUCAGAUAAUUGCAAUUUUACUACCUGAGACAUUUAUUUUUCUCAUUUCAGUAUAUUGAGUUUUUCAAUUUCACCAAAAAUAGAAUUUUCAAAUUAAAAUUCUUUGGUAAAAAUAAAUUCAAAUUAUGCAGCUCUUUGGUAAGAAGAAGAAGACAGUACUCAAUCAUUCAUUUUUGUCAUUAUCAACACUUAAACCUCCUUGUUGGCCAAUGCAAGAGUUAAUACUAGUUGUUGGCCAAGAAGAAGAUUUUUUUUAAAAUGAGAUGAUCAAAUAUUUUUUUUAAUUUUUUUUAAUUUUUUAUAUAUAUAUAUCUCAUUGUAUGACUAUAUAAACUUUACCUAAUUGAAUGUAAUAUAUAUUAUCAAAUAAUAAUAUCUUUUUUCUAUUUUAAAUUUCUUCUAAUCACAGCUGCAUUUUAUGAUUGCUUAGAGCUAUUGGCAUCAGAUCUUAGCCAUAAUUAUUUUUACUGGAAGUAAUCCAGAAUAUUAGAGCUAUUGGCAUCAGAUCUUGGCCAUAGUUCUAUAAUGGCUGCGUUUUUUUCUUUCAAAUAAGUGACGCAAAUGAGAACAAAAGAAAAAGAAAAACACAAAAAGAAGAAAGAAAGACUUAAAUCAAACUUUGAAAUGUUUACAAAGUUUGAUUUUUGUAUUUUGAGUUGACCUCUAGGAACUUCUAAUUCCAGUCUUUCAAGAUAAGCGACAGGUCAGUUUUUUCUUUUGUAAAUGUUUACAACUCUUUAAAUACAUCAUAAAUCAAACUUUACAAACUUAAAAAAAUCAGAAUCCCAAGUCAAAUAAAAAAUACAAUAUAAAAUCCAGAAUCAAGCUAAAAAUCUAAAAAAAGAAGAAGAAAAUAUAUGGACCAUAGUAACAUAAUUGCCCAGUGGGUAUAGAGUUAUCCCUCCAAAGUUUGUUUCAUCAUCUUCUCAAUUAGCUGACAUCUUUACCAGGCCUCUUGGCAAAGAGGCAUUCUGCUAUAUCCUAGACAAGUUGGGGUCUAUCCAAUCUACAUGCUCCAACUUGAUGGGGAAGUAAUUGGAUUUCUAGAACGGCUACUUCUCUUGAUUCAUGCGGGGGAUCUCGAGCUUUAAUGAGCUUUCCUCACAUGUAAGUCAAUGAUCAUAUCAUCCUGUAAACACCCUUGAUUGUAUACAUCUGGAUUCUUUUCUCUUUUACCUUUGAUACGGGGAUUAUUCCAUGUAAGGAUUGCUAUCUUUACAUAUAAAUAGCUGUUAUAUGAAAUGAAAAUUAAGCCUUUUGGGCUAGCACUUGAUCUAUGAGAACCUACAAUAAAUAUGCAGAAAUUCUUGCCUGGAGAUUCUUGAGCUUCACGAUUCUUGUUCUCCUCUUAUUUUAUUUGCUAAGAGAUCAAGUGAGGAAUCCCGUUAAUUAAUUGUGGCAUCCAAAGAAUGAUAUUGACUUCGAAACAAGUUGGAGAACAAGGAUAAACGACAGUAGGAACUAAAGUUCUGAUGAGGUUACGUCUCAGAAUUUGGCAAUUACAACAGAGCUAGGAAUAUAGUCUUUCCUUUUUGCGCAAGGCUGCUGACUAUACAUCAAACACGAGAAAAACCAUGUUCAUAUUUAUCAUUUUUAUUUUGUUGAGAAUAAAGUUUCAUAUCAAGUAGUUUUAUUAACAAAGAAAUAGCAGUUUCCAACUUUCACCCUUGCCUUUUUGUCUACAUUGGAUCAGCAGAAGCCGUUUUCCUUGACUCCUGCCCGGCAUAAAAAACAUGGAAAUCACAGACCUUCACAAUACCUUUCAUUGUUCGUGCAGGAAAAAAAAAUCUAAAUAGAAAGAAACAAUUUUAACCAAGAAGUUUGACACAUGACCAAGGGUAAGUCACGUACGGUCACCUUGAUAAAAGCAGAGAAAACAGAGAAAUAACCCUUCUCAGUUCUCACCCUACCCUAUCUCUAUCUAACCAAAAAAUCGAGACAGCUUCUUCUUCUUUUUGUAGAAAAUCUUAUUGCACCAUUGCUUAAUGCAUACGGCAAGGAAUAUGAGGCUGAUUGGUCAGAUUAACCAAAUUUGUUUUGUUGCCACGCACAACAUCCUAUUCAAUCUUCGUGGUUUUGUUUUUCCUUGGAGAAGAAAUGCCCUUAAUUUUCCUUUUCUAGUUUGCUACUUUCCUUACGACUAUUCCCUUAAUGUUAUUGAGAUAGAAAGGGAGGGAACUUCUGAGAAGAUAUACAUGCUAUUAUGGUUUCAUAUCUACAAGCUGACUUUUGAAACAAUCAUCGAGACGAGUGCUUUUCCCUAAAUGCUGUUCUGAUAAUUGCGAUUGACACUAAAAUGCAGGUUGAUUCUGCUUUGCAUGAAGUAAAAAUGAGGGCUUCUAUCCAAAGCACUGGGUUCUCAUUCCAACUGUUGUAUACAUCUGGUUGUAAAGCUAUAGUAAAUGAUCUUACAUUGAUGUGAGCUAUGGACCCUUUUUGUUAGCCAACAAUCAUUAAGAUACAAAAGAACAGGAUCUAUCAUAAUAACUUAGAAAGAAUACAUACAAUUAGUUCAACCAGGAAGAAAAAAGGAGAGCUCUUGAGUUCUGUUCAUGAAAGCCUUUACUUCAGCGAGGUUCCAAGUCAGAUAUUGUUGCGUCAUUCACAGAAUAAAUUUUAUUCCUGAGAACACUGUCCUCCUCUUCAUCUCUUUUGGUUGAAAAAGAAGGCCUUUUUGGAGUGGCGAUAGGUGCAUUUUCAUUUUUUAGCAUCGAAGAAAUUUUUAACAUAGAUGGCCUGUCCAAAGGAUUUUCUUGGACGCAUAAUAGAGCAACUUGCAGGCAUCUUGUGAGUUUACAUGAUGAAAAGGAAUCGUCUAGCGAUGGAUCGAAAAACUCCACGCCUUCACCAUCUUUCCAUAAUUCAUAUGCCUGAAACAAUUUGAUAACCAUAUUGGUAUUCAAAUGCGGACUAUGGGAGAAAAAAAGUGAAUUAUGCAUUCAUAUAUUGGAAAAGAUGUGACUGAUCACUUACAUAUUCAAGAAGGUUCCAGUUUUCGUCUGCACCAUAGUAACAUGUACUCCUCUUGCCACUUAUGAUUUGCAGGAGAAGAACUCCAAAGCUGUAAACAUCAUAUUUCAUGGAGUAUAUGCCUUUUCUUACAUAUUCAGGGGGGACAUAACCACUGCAAUUCAAAAAAUAAAUAAGAAUGAGAAGAUUUAGCAAACAGUUCAUGUCGAAAUAUAUACCACUUUGAGACAAUUUCCUUACUAUGUUCCAACUAUCCUGCUUGUGUUUGCUUCGAGUUCAUCUUUCCUGAAGAGCCUAGCCAUACCAAAGUCUGAUAUCUUAGGGUUCAUUUCCUCAUCCAAUAGAACGUUGCUACUCUUUAUGUCUCGAUGAAUAAUGGUAAAAUUUGAGUAUUCUUGGAGAUAUAGAAGCCCUUGAGUAAGACCUUCAAUGAUUGAACGCGUUUUCUCCAAUCUAACAUGUAUCUUCUGACUGGAUCUACAUCGAAGUAGACCUUAAACAAUUAUUCGAGGUACAUUUAGAAGGUUGGCCAAACUAAGCUAGAGAAAAAGAUUCUACUGACCAUAGAUGUAGAAAUCCAAGCUCUUGUUCGGCAUGUACUCGUAGAUCAGCAUCUUUUCUUCCCUCUCGGUGCAAAAUCCCAAAACUGUAACUAUAUUCACAUGUUGAAGUUUUUCUGUAAGUGUGACCUCAUUUUUGAACUCCUCUUCACCUUGAGUCGAAGUUUUUGAUAGUCUCUUCACUGCUAUUUCCUUUCCGUUUGGUAGUUUACCCUGGCAAAGCAAAUGCCUCAAGCUGUCAUGUUUUCGUCCUUUCAAAGUCAUUCAAGACAAUUACUUGCCAAUAUUCUGUACCCUCGACAUCCUUCUUUCGUAUAGAAUAUAAACAUACAGCUUAUAUGUAAUUAGUGUUCUGCAGUGAAAGAAUCAGAACGCAUUUAUAUUUUGCCAAAUUUAUUUACCUUGUAGACAGAGCCAAAUCCACCUACUCCAAGUUUUUUUCACUCGAAAAGUUAUUAGUAGCCGCAGCAAUCGUAUCAAAACUGAGUGCUUGCAGAUUUGGAGCAUCGCUAUUAAUAGCUCUAGUAGCAGAUACUUUGAUUUUCACUGCAGAUAGUGAUUUUUGGACACUCCCAGCAAUUUCUGUUACCAUGAAACAAAUCAAAGAACUAACUGUAUCUUAAUCCUGUUGUAAUAAUUGCUGAACCAACUCAAAAUUUUGGUUAAUAUAUUUGGAAAAUUGUCACAACGGGAAGAUGUUACCUUUUGAGCCGAGUUUUUUCCUUCUAAAGUAACAACAAAUUAUGGUGCCCAACACGAGAAAGACCACAGCAAUCGUAACCAGAAUAGGUACCAAUACCUUCCUCUUGUUCAGCCCAUCUUCAUCUUUUCCCUGAGCUGCGAGCAUUUAUCAUCAUUAAGUAUUGUUUUAUGAUAUCUUUCUAUUGCAGUGAAAGCUCAUUUACUCUAUAAAACACACCUCACAGAACUUAGUAUUGCAGGGGAUGGCAUUUGAUAAUUCAAAAGCAAUUGAAACAUCUCUAGUCCGGUGUUUUUUUUAAAAUAAAGAGGAUAAAAUGGGGGAUCGAAAUUUCCACGAACAACCUACCUGCUCGAGAAAGAAUCCAAUUAUCGUCAUUGGAGAGCUGAAAUACGCUGUAACCACUAAGAUUGUUUUCCUUUGCAUAAGAAAUCUUAGCCUUGAUAGUCUCCACAUCAUCAAAAUUGAUCCAAAUCGACCCAACAACGACAAGCUUCGUAACAUAGGUAGAAUUGUACACUGCUGCAGCUCCAUAGCCAUAACCUUGAAUGAAAGAUUUAAUAUUCUUAUAACCCAUGGAACCAUCACGUGUUACAGCUGGACCCGAGGAGGGUGCCCCAAACUCUUUUUCGUUGGGGUUCACCAGUGUCCAUGCAUAACCAUGGUAAGGCAAACCCAAAACCAGUUUGCUAGCAGAUAAUCCUCCUCUUAGCCAUUCCUUUAUCCAUUCAUCGGUGUUAACCCAAUUUGAAGUGCCAUAUAAAGCAGCAUGUGCACCAGUAAAAUUAAAUUCUGCAGGCACAUGAUAGUCAUAUGCAACAAGAUGUAUCCAAUCUAAGGUCCUUUUCAUGAUGUCAAUAGGAUAAGUAGCCGAGUGCUGAGCAGGCGAGUAAGUAGCUGACAUUACCAAGAGCAACUGUGACUUGCCAGAUUUUCUUGAAUCAGAAGCUAUAGCGUCUCGCCACUCAUCGAAAAGGAUUCCUAGAUUGGUCAUGUUGAUGCUCAUACUUGGCCCAACCGAAAGGUCUAGGCCAUCAAAACCAUAAAGCCUCGCUGUAUAUAUCGAGGACUCGAUAAAAGACUUUCUAUAAGAAGACUGAUUUAUCAUUGAGGAAAAAGUUGGAAGACCCCCUCUCCUAGCCAAGAUGGAUAGAAGGGUUUUAACUGAAGGGUUCUUAACCCUGACAGUGCCUGUGAAGGUGGAGAAGUAGGAUUCUUUGGAAGAGUUAAUAUGAAUAUGAUAAGUAGAAGAAUUUAUACGAGAAAAGGCACAUACAAGGUGAGUAAAAAGAGCAGAAUUGAUAUUAGAAACGGGCAUUUCACUGAAGGAAUCCCAGUAACCUGCUCUAAUCCAGGUUUCUUGGGAGUUUGAGCUGUGAACAUAGGAAGAUAGAAAGAGAAGGAGGGUGAUGAUCAUAGUGUUGCAAGUCAUUGAAGAAGAAGCUUACUUUCGCAACCCCAGCAGGACUCCUAAUCUGUAUCCGUGAGAAGUGAAACUCUUGGAUCUGGGGCCUCGCAUUUUUCUGAAAGGUUAUUUGUUUGAAGUGUAAUAAACGAGAAUGAUUUGACUCCUGGUAUUUUUAGUCUAUGAUUUUUCCUAGAAGGAACAAUCAAUGUUCAAUUAGGUAUCACCUUGAUCAUGUUGCCAUGUGGUAGGACGAAAAAAAAAAAAAACUAUAAGCUUUUUUAAUAUUUUUUGUUUUGUUUUUAUAAAUGGUUUGGUGGCACCUUGUAGUUGUUAUUGUACAACGCAAUUUCCAGUCAACUUUUACAUCCUAAAAAUUCAACCUUUCUUUUUAAUUUUGUCAAGGAAAGAUUAUUUAUAUCGAUAUUAGAAAAUUCAAGAAAAUUUCUCUUCCAAAAUGACUGGAUUUUGAUGAGAUGUAAAAGUGACGAUCCUAAAAUACCUGAUAGAAAGUCGAGUGAUUUGACCAGCUUAGCGUGUCCACAUUCCAUUGAUUCUGAGUUUUGGGGCUCGUCCAUCCAAAUGAAUCAUUCUUUGCAUUAUCAGGUUAUAGUUUGGAUUGGAACGUGGUGGGAAGGAUAUUUUUUAAAGUAUUUUUUAUAAUAAAAUAUAUUAAAUUGAUAUUUUUUUUAUUUUAUAAAAAUUAUUUUUGAGAUUAGCUUUUUAAAAUGAUUUAAAAUAUAAAAAAAUUAUUUUUUUGUAAAAAAAAUAAUUUCAAACAUUCUCUUAAAGUAUUUUAAAAUUAUCUAUUAUUAGUUUUGAUACUAAAUAAAAAAACUAUUUUUGCUUGUGCUAAGACCCCAGCAAAAGGGGAUGUGCUAGGAAGUUUUCAGUUACUUGUACAAGUAGGUUUUGGCUUGCUCUUUGACAGGUGUCCUAAUUUCCCUCUUCAGAACAGAGAUGCUGAAAUAUCUCGUCUUUCCCCUCUUUUAGCUGUUUGCAGCAUCCAUCUUGUGCAAAAGAAAGCAAGGAAAAUGAUGGAGCCAACAAAAAAAGUCAUAACCGAGCCUGGCUGACAAGAGUCUCAACCGAGGCUGCCAACCACGAGCCCAACCGAGCUUGUCCCAAGCUCAACCUAAUUGUUACAUGCUAAUUUGGGACAAGCUCAACCUAAUUGUUACAUGCUAAUUUUUCACUCCGCGAAUAAACCCGUGUGGCAGCCUAGUUUCUCAUUACACUUAGUUUUUUCUCACCAAUUCCACUCAUAUUUACCUAGUAACUAAGUGUUUCCCUCACACGAGAGAUUUCCCCACUUUCCCAAGUUAAAAGACAAGCGGAAUACACAAGUAGAUUGCAUGCCACAAAGCAAAGCACACCGAGAAUACAAGAAGAACUCUCAUCCUUUAUUUAUCUCGUCAACAAAGGAUUAUAUAAUGAGUAUGUGUGCUAUGCACAAAAAUCAUAUGCUACACAUCCAAACUUACACACGUUAUUUCCUACCUACAAACAAGAGCCGCAACAACUAUUUAUAGCCAAGUAUGUGAGCUGCAAGACACACCCAUGAUGUCUAUUUUUCAAGACAUAGUGGGACACUUUCUCCCCCAUAAUCUCCAUGAUCUUAGAGGCCUAUUUUCCAGUAAAUAGUGGACAGUUACUGCCCAUGAUCCCAUGAUUCAGCAGCUUGUAGAGCAAUCCCCUUGAUAAGCCCCCAUGUUUUUCCCUAUGAUCCCAUGAUCUAGGAAGUCCAUAACUCCCGCUCACCCAUGUUCUUGCAUGCCCACCUGGCAGCCCCAACUAUCAGUUCUUGUUGCGUCAAUUGUUGCGUCAAUUGUUGAGUCACCCGUAUGUCUUGAACAGUCCUUCGUCCAAGUUUUAGAUCGUGUCAAUUCGAACCCAUGACUUGCACAAGUUGUUGCGUGCUGCCGAAUUCACAUUUGCGUGCAGGCUGCCAAUAUCUGUGCUGCAGAAUUCCAUGACAGCCCCAAUUCUCGUCAGCCUAUUUACCUGAUGAGUUUUCCUGUUUGGUCUGGACAUUCCAUCGUCCAGCCCAUGUUUGUCAACAAUCUGCGUUGCUGAUUUUUCUUUGACGAACCUACAACUGCAUAAAUCUGCGUUGCCAAUUUAUUCCACUAUUGGUCUAGCUGUCAGCACUCUUAAACACUGUUUUAGAUAGCCUGUCAAAGCGUGCACCUCGGGCGUAUUUAACCAUGUUACACUAACCCUUUUAUUUUUCAAACGAACCCUUUUUUCCCCAACUCAACCUAAUCCGCUCAUCUUUUAAUCGAAUCCUCUCUUUCUUGGCACAACUUAGCCUUCACGUUUCCCGACCCAACUUUUAUAUUUUGACAGGGAAUUUAUUUCGCAGGCGAGUCAGUUGAAAAGCUAAAAUCUAGUACGAGAAAGUCUCACGACUUCAUAGAAAAAAAAAAGAGAGAGGAAAGAGUGGAACCACAUUCAGGAGACAUCUGUGCUAAUAUUUGACCUGCGGAACUUCUUGAAAGAAGCAUCAUUUGAGAAGUCAGCCACAGCUAUUUUGAUAAAACUUGUUGCGUGGGCUGCAUCCAUAUAAUUCCACGUUCAAGAUUUCAAUCUAGAAAAGGAAUUGGUAACGUGUAGGGUCGCCAGCAUUGUUUCCGUACGUGAAGACUUUUGUGUAAGACUUGUGGUGGCCUUUGAUACGUCGACAGAGCAGUCUAUCAAAGUUUUUUUCAUAUAAAUUUUAUUUUGCUAUGACUGAUGAAUUUUAGCGGUAGCAAAAAUUAAGGUGGCCUGAAAGAGGCAUAUUGCAUGGCAUUAUAGUUAAGUUGCACAUCCUGAAUCAAUUCUUACAGAGGCAAGCCUCGGAGUUGUUUGAUUCCAUUAACAAUGUGCAUGCCGUCAAAACUUUUGCUGUAAAUUUCUGAUAAUAAUCUAGAAAAAACACAACGAGCUUGCUGUUCAAGUCUGUAAACAGAUUUAGCAUUUGCUUCAAGCUUCUGCAAGAAAGUACUUCCUCAUCGCCCGACGACUUGUGAAAUUGUUGCAUCAUCAACUGAACAAAUCUCUAAUUGCAAUUGCUCAGGUCUGUUUUUGUCAUCUUCAUCUGUCUUCACAGAAAAAGCAGGCCUUUUGGGAAUGGUCACAAUGGCAGUUUCGUUUUUGAGCAUUGAAGAAACUUCCACCAUAGACGGCCUAUCAAUAGGAUUUUCUUGGACACAUAGCAGUGCAAUUUGCAAGCAUUUGAUCAAUUUACAAGAGGACAACGUGUCAUCCAGCGAUGGGUCCAUGAUCUCCAUGCCUUUACCAUCUUUCCACAGCUCGUAAGCCUGCAAUUAACAAAAAUCACAAUCAUGCAUGACAAAUGCAAAAUCUAAAAUAUCGUCAGUUGUGUUAUCAAGAAACUUACAUAUUCUAGGAGGCUUAAAUUUUCACCAGAACCAUACAAGGACCAUUCUUCUUGCCGCUUAUGAUAUGCAGUAGUACCACUCCAAAACUGUAAACAUCAGAUUUUAUGGAAUACACGCCGUUUCUGACGUAUUCCGGAGGAACAUAACCGCUGCACAGGAUGAUUUCAUUCACAAUGUUAAGUUUUCAAAAAUAAUCUAUGUAUGAAAUGAACUUGUGCAUGCAUGAUGCUUACUAUGUCCCGACAAGCCGGCUAGUGUUUGCUUCUUGUUCAUCUUUCGUGAAAAUUCUAGCCAUACCAAAAUCAGAUAUCUUAGGCUUCAUAUCCCCAUCCAGUAAAAUGUUGCUGGCUUUCAAGUCUCGAUGGAUAAUUGUCAGUCUCGAAUAUUCUUGGAGGUAUAGAAGGCCUUGAAUUAUCCCUUCAAUGAUUUCUGCCCUUUUCUUCCAAUCCAACAAAUAUCGCCUAAUCGGAUCUGUCAUAUCAGAUAACAUGCAUAAGAAUGUCGGAAAUUGUAAUGCAAUGAAAGACUAGAUCACACUCAAAUCUUUUUUUAUUUCUGUAAAUCCAAGCAUAAAAGGAUGCUGAGUGCUAACCAUAUAGGUAACAGUCCAGGCUUUUUUUUGGCAUGUACUCAUAGACCAGCACCUUCUCUUCUCUGCCAACGCAAAAUCCCAAAACUUUCACGAGAUUUACAUGUUGUAAUCUUGCAGUGAGCAUAACCUCAUUCUUGAAUUCAUCAAAUCCUUGAGUAGAGGAUUUCGAAAGUUUUUUCACUGCUAUUUCUUGUCCACCUGGUAAAACACCCUGGAAAAACAGAAUGUCAUGCUAAUUUCUUUCACUCAAAGACUGAAAUCUGAAUGCUUGAAGAUUGCAAAGGGUUUAGAUUGCAGCAUUUAUAUUAUAUGCUAACUAUAUCUUCUCCUAUAUUUAAGCUACUGGAAAGUUAAAAUAGAAUUGAAGUCUAUCUCUAGUAUACGAGUUUAUCACAAUAUCAGUUUGCAAGUUAUCUUGAAUAUGCCUCCUAUAUCUUCCUGAUUCAACAGUUUGAAAGUUAUCUCCAGUAAAGAUAAGCAUGUCUUAUCCCUGCAAAAGAGAGAGAGUUUUCUAAAUGGCAGGAGACAGGCACUUAAUGACUCCAUUUUCACAAGUGGAACAUUUCUCUAGAAACGCUUACUCACAGUCCAUUCUUGCAAAUGGUUGCAUAUCUCCACGAAUCCUCAACAAAAUAUAGCAUCAUGAGUUGAAGAGUAAUGUCCCAUUGUAAUCUAUAAAGAAUAAUUAGUUAAUUGUAAACAGGGCCAAAUCCACCCUCCCCAAGCUUAUUUUCAAAUUCAAACUGGUAUGUAGCUUUCUCAAUAUCUGCCAAACUAUAUACUAUCAGAUCAGGAUUAUUGCUGUCGAAGUCGCCUGCUGCUGCCGCAUUAUUUACUUUCAACUUUGUUUCUUUACUCUUUGAUUUGAGGAUUCUAAUUCUUAUGAAAUAAAAUGCCAAGCCCAGUAGAAUAAUAACAGCAGCAGUUGUUGUCAAGAUGAUAAUCAAUGUAAGGGAUUUUGGUCGUCCUUCGUGUUUGGGAUCAACCCCUCCACCUGAGUCAACCCCCCCAGCUGAGUCAACCCCCCCAGCUGAGGACAUAAACAUAUUAUGUGAAUUAGUGAUCAGAAUUGUCUGUUUCCAGUAAAUUUUAAAAGAUUAUUCAAGAAUGAUUUAAAAGAAAAUGAUGCAGAUGUUUUGCAUAAAAAAAAAAAAAAUCACAGAUUAUUCAAGGAUGAUAAAUCAUUAUUUUUUGGCCGCCAGAUGGUACCAAUUGUCGAAUUUAUAUAGGCAGACAAUAUCCAACCAUCUAAACACACAAAAGAUUAAAAAAAACUGCAAGUAGGUACACAAUCCUGCAUUAUAUAUGACAAGCCUUAAUGACAAAUAGCUGAUGAUGGCCUUUUGGUUUUACCCUGAAGCAAGUAGGAAUUCAUAAGAAUUCAGAUAAAAAGAAUAUCUGGCAAGAUUCUCUAUAUAUUGCACCUUAACAAUCAAAUUAAUCAAUCAAGGCCAACCUCUUGACAUCAUUGUUAUCACGAUGGUCAAAGAACCAUUUUGUGGCUUAAGAACAUUCCCAUACCUGCUUGAGAGAGUACCCAGUUGUGAUCACCAGAAACUUCCCAUACAAAAUAUCCGAGGAGGGCCUUCUCCUUGGCAUAAGAAACCUUAGUUCUAACAACAUCAACACCAUCAAAACUAAUCCAAGUUGACCCUACGAUGCCGUAAUUUACCACAUAAGUGGAAUUGUAGAUAGGAUCAACUCUUCCGUUUGCUUUGAAAUAAUUAUUGAUAACUUUAUAGCUCAUGGAUCCAUCUUGUGUAACGGCUGGUCCUGUUGCUGGUGCGCCAAUGGCAUUUUCAUUCGGGCUUGCAAGUUUCCACGCAUAACCAUAGAAAGGCAAACCUAAAACCAACUUACUAGCCGGUAAUCCUCCAUUAAUCCAUGCUCUUAUUCCAAAAUCAGUGUUAACAUCACUAUCAGGAUCAUACAAAGCUGCAACAGCAGCAGUGUAGUUAGCCCAUGUAGGCAUGAAGUAGUCAAAAGCCAGCACAUGAGUCCAAUUCAAAUUCUUCCGUAUAGAGUCUAUAGGGAAACUCCCGGAAUCCAGUCUUGGCGAGUACCGAACGGCUGCUGUCAGGAUAAGUUCUGACAGGCUAGAGUUUCUUCCCUCCAAAGCAAUAGCAGCACGCCACUCUUCGAAGAGGGUACCCAUAAUGUCCAUGUUAUCGCUUGUGCUGGCCGAAACCCAGCUGAAGUCUAGCCCUUGAAAGCCAUAAUGCCUCGCUAUUUUUAUUGAGUCAUCUAUGAAAAACUUCCUGCAAGUAGAAUUGCCUGCCAUUGCAGAGAGUGUUGAAUAGUUUGCGCUUCCUCCUCCAAUGGAUAGUAAGGUAGUGAUCGAUGGAUUCUUCUGUUUUACGGUGUUUGUGAAGGCAGAGAAGAGUGGGUCAUCUGAGGAGGAGAUAGACAGGUGAUACGAAGAUGAAUUAAGGCCAGCAAAAGCACAAAUAAGGUGAGUAUAGAGGGUAGAAUUUAUGUCAGAAAUUGGGAGGUCACUGCCAGAAAACCAAUAGCCAGCUUUGAUCCAUGCUUGUGCUUUUGCAGGAUGCAAUUUUAAAGAGAGAAAUACAUGAAAGAGGAUGAUGAUAGUAAUUCUCGAUACCAUUGGAGCUUGCUUGAUAAAAAUACAAGGAAGGCAAAUGUACAAAGACAAAAGCAUGUAAAUGUUCCAGUCAGGACUCGGUUCUCAAUGCCACCGUUACCGCGUUCCCGUAUGUCACGGUUCCGCCAUGCUUUUUUAUUUUAUUUUUUAAAAACAUUUAAAUUAGUAUUUUUUUAAAUGUUUUUUAAUUGUCUUAAUUUAUUGAUUUCAAUAAUAAAAACAUUUUAAAAAAAAAUAUUAUUUUAAUAUAUUUUAAAAUAAAAAAUAUUUUAAAAAAUAAUAUUUACUAAACUAUCAAACUUGCUUUAAACUAGACUCCAUUAAAACUUUGUAUUUUCUAUUUUAAAAAAUAAAAUAAUUUUAGUUUUAUUUUAAAAUAAAAUUUUAAAAAAUGUUGUUAACUCAAAUGAAACUUAAUUAAGACACCUCAAUCGUUACCAAAUCGUUUUAGAAACUUGAAAUUGUAAUAACGGUGAUAGUUUAAAAUAUUUUUUGUUUAAAAAUAUAUCAAAAUAAAAAAAAAAAUAUUUUUUUAAAAAUAUUUUUGACAUUAGUAUAUUAAAAUAAUUUUAAAAAAUAUAAAAAAAUUUAAAUAUAAAUAAUUUUAAAAAUAUAGGUGUGUUCAGGAUGCAAUUUCAAUUUUAAAAUAUAAUUUCGAUAGAAAUAAUAGUUUUUCAAAAAUGUAUUAAUGAUAAUAAUAUUUUUUAAUUUUACCCUUCAAAUUAAAUCUAUGGUUGCUUUUCAAUAUUGAUAAUAAUAUUUUUCAAAUUUAUUGAUUAUUUUAUUAAUAAUAUUAUUUAAAAUACAAAUAAAAAUGUUUUUAAUAAUAAAAAUAAUAAUAUUUAUAGAACAAAUAAUAAUAUUUUUUAUAUUAAUACUUUUAAUUAUAAUACAAAUAAUAAUAUUUAGAAAUUUAAGACUCAAGAACCUUGGAUCCUAACACUGCACCCAAGAGAAUUGAAUCUUGAUGCAGGACCCAUUAGUCUUGGGUCGUGACAAUGGACCCAACAGAAUUAGAUCCUGACAAUGAAUCCAAGAGAAUUAGGUCCUGAAAAAGCACAUAAGAGAAUUGUGUACCGCGAUCGUGUUUGCAGACCCAAGGUGCAUGGGUCUUGCCAUAAUGACCAAUGCAUGGUAACCCCAGCGCCAGGUGUCUACACCCUCAGGCAUGCUAGGAUACAGGGCCCAACAUUGUUGGGUCCUAAUUUUAAGGCAGGGCCUAAAGAAUGUGCGUCCUUCUCGAGGUCGGGCCUAAUAUUGUUGAACGCAGCUACGACCUUCUGCUGAGGCAAGCCCAGAACACAUUAGCUUUAAGUCUUGUAACCAAGCAGGAUCCAAUAACGUUAGGCCUCAUUGUCCUAUUGGAUAUAAGAUCCAUGGCUAUUGGGUUCGGUUGUGUAUCAGCACCUAACACUAUUGGUUCCUACUGGGCAGCAAUUCCUACCUCCAGCAGGAAAUUUAAAUUUUAAAAAAUAUGUUGAGAUAAUUUUUUUAUUUUUUAAAAUAUAUUUUUUAUAUCAUCAAAUACAAAUAAUACAAAAACAUCAAAAAAAUAUUAAUUUAAAUUAAAUAAAAAUGUUAAAAAAUUGAAAAAACUUUAAGCAUUUUUUAAUCGAAAAAACAAACAUUCUUUAAUAAAAAAAUUCAACCCAACCUGAAAUGAAAAACAAUUAUCAUAACCCAUCUUUUGCACAAUAUAAAAAAAAAGUCUCAUUAAUUUAUUUCUUCUUUACCGUAUGAAAAAUAAAAUUAAAUCAGAGAAAAGAGAAGAAACCUUAGACCCAGUGAUAUUGGAAAUAUCCUAAAAUAUUUUUAAAAAAAAAACAUGUAUUGAGAUGAUAUUAUUUUUUUUUGUAAAAUCUAUUUUUUAUAUCAUCACAUCAAAAUAAUACAAAAACAUCCAAAAAUAUUUAUUUGAAGUAAAGAAAAAAAAUACCAAAUUCUUUUUAAACAUUUUUUGAAAAGCAAAAACAAACAUGUUUUAAUAAAAAAAUUCAACCCAACCUCAAAUGAAAAACUAUUAUCACCAGCCAACUUUUGUACAAUAUCAAAAAAGUCUCAUCAAUUUAUUUCCUCUUUACAGCAUGGAAAAAAAAUUAAAUAAGAAAAAAGAAAAAUAAUUUAAAGAUAAAAAAAAAUAAAAUUGAAAAUAUCUUAAAGAUGAAAAAAAAUUGGAAAUCCUAAACCCAAUGAUAUUGCCAAGCCAGACCCAAUAUCUAAAAAAAAAAAUUAGAAAUAUCUUAAAAUAUUUUUGUAAGAAAAUAUAAUGAAAUAAUAUUUUUUAUUUUGUAAAAUCUUUUUUUUUUAUAUCAUCACAUAAAAAUAAAAAAAAAAACAUCAAAAAAAUAUUAAUUUGAAUUAAAGAAAAAGGUUAAAAAUUUUGAAAUGAUUUUUUAAGCAUUUUUUAAACGAAAAAACAAACUUGUUUUAAUAAGGAAGUUUAACCCUAUCUUAAAUGAAAACAAAUUAUCAUCACCUAACUUUUGUACAAUAUAAAAAAUAUCUCACCAAUUUUAUUUUUUUUACCAUAUGAAAAAUAAAAAAAAUUAGAGAAAAAAAAAAUCACAAACCAAAUAUCCUUGGGUAUGGUUGCGCAGCCAAACCCAAGGAUAUUGGGUCUGGCUGCCCAACCAGGCCCAAGAUCGAUAUAUCUUUUGGAAUUGAUUUGGGUCCAACUGGCCAACCAAUCCCAACAUUAUUAUGUUAUAUUAGGCAACAAGAUCCAAUGUUAUUGACACCUUUUGGAAGUGUUUUGGGUCUAGCUUAGUAGCUGGUUGUAGGGUCCAGCGGCCAAGUCAUACCCAACAACUUUUGGUACAGAAGGUAAUGCCCCUAGCUGUAAUUCUUAACUAAAAAUGCAACUUCUUGACUAAAAACACAACAAAGGUAAUGCCCCUUUAGAGUGUUAUAGUGUCGUCUGCAGUGCAAUGUAUUUGUGUCCACAGUAAAUGCAUAAUAUUCCCACCCCCUGUGUUUUAAUACAUAGCAAAACCCAAACAAUGCAAUACACAAUUAAAUCACUCACAAUCUACAGUAAUUCACUAAUUGUUUUUAGGUUUUUUUAUAAUAUGAACACAUGUAAGUUGUGUGUGGAAAUUUAUGCCAUUUGAUUUUGCUAGUAUCAUAUUAGACCUGAUAAAGCUAUAAAAAUCACAGGGAAUAUUAUAGAAGAAAUUAUUUCUAGAGAUCCCUGUAGAUCAUUCAUAAUGUAUUCUACGACCUUCACUUUUCAGAUUGUAUCAGCUUCCUCUUUAAUAAAUAUCUUAUGGGGUUGUAAAUCUUCUCUUAAAUGAAUGCUUGCAUAAAGUCUUUUAGAGAUCCCUAACGGUGUUGCUAGAAGACCCUUCAAAGAUCGAGUCAGUACGAUGUAUUUUGUAUGAUAAAAAGAUAUUAGUAAAGGUAUUAAUGAGCUUUUGUAAAGAUAAAAAAGAAAAAGGAGAAGAAGAUGUAGAUGUAGAUGUAAGGGAAGAAGAGAAUAAAUGUGUUCAUGUCUAAGAGCAUAAGGUUUCGAACCCCUUUUUUGUGUACUCAAGCUUCCUUUUAUACUACAUGUCUUGACUUGCUUCAUACGAUAUGUUAGGGGUAGAAAUGUAAUCUCGUAAUGAUAGAAUAAUAUUAUUAUAUUGUUGAUACUAUCACAUCUCAUUAAUAUAAGCAUGAACUACUUGUUCAUAAUUAAUUGGAUGUGAUGAGUAUCAUAAUCACUAGCCCAGACCUAGAGUAAGGGAGGCUUAGAGUAAGGUUACUUUUCAGCUAUACGCUAAACUUAGAUGCAUUUGGGUUCAGUUUGUACAUUCAACUCAAGUGUAUUCGGGUUCAGCAGUACGCCAAAUUCAAUAGGAGUUGGGCUCAGCAUGACGUUGAACCCAAGAGGAAUUGGAUUCAGCGGUACGACGAUCUCAAUAGGAGUUGGGUUCAGCUUUAACCCGAACCCAAGAGAAAUUGGGUCCAAUUAUACACUGAACCCAAGAGGAAUUAGGCGCAUACAUGCCUCAUCCCAACUAGAGUUGGGCGUGAACUUGUCCUAACUCAACUUAGAGUUGGACGUGGAUGCAUCCGGGCCCAACUUUAAGUUAGGCAUGAACAUGUCACAGCUCAAUUUAGAGUUGAAGCUAAACGUAUUCUGCUCCAAUACAAGAUUGGGUGUAGAGAAAACAUAACUUAAUUUUAUAUUCAGAUUUUCAUGUGAUGUGAUGGUGGGAGGUUUUUAGAAAACCAUGACCCAUCAAGCCAUAGAGACCAAACAGCACGGCUGAGAGAAAAAGGCAGGCAAUUACGUGGAGAUGGAGUGUGGGGGCCAGGGUCAUAUCAAUUGCAAUUACUUCUUGGUAGGUUUUGUUUUGUUUCUUCAGAUUUCUAGAUUCAACAUUAAAGGUUCUUAUAAGAAAACAUUGCCAGCCCUCUUGUUUUCUUGGUCUAGCUUGGGCUAAAUGUCAAGGAAAGGGGUAGCUGUCUCCCUUAAUUUCUAGACUCAACAUCAAACGUUCUUAUAUAUAUAUAUAUAUAUAUAUAUAUAUAUAAAGUCCUAAUUUGGCCCCUUUUCAUUGUUCUCCUUCGCAGUUUUCUCAUGAUUUUGAGACAAUUUAAUCGCAAACCAACAUAGAGAUGCAAAAAUAGAAGUGCCCCUAGCUAGAUCAUUUGUAAUUCCAGAAAGGUAAGAAGUUAAUUUUGAAACAGUAAAUCUUUUUAAUUAGUGUGGCUUAUAUAUCCAUGUUUAAUAACUUACUUAAAUAAUUUUUUUAUAAUUAAAUGAUAGAAUAAACAUAUAUGUAGACAAUUAAUUUUAAAAUUAAUUGUUUAUAAUAGUGUUUUUCUUAUUUUGUUAAGCCAGGUGAUAUUUUAUAGUACUUUUUUAAAUAAAUAAGUAUUAAUUAUUAAUUGUUUCCAUAAAAAGUAUGAAAUAUUUAUCUUAAAUUAAUUUAUUAUCCUCUAUUUAUAAAUUAGAUGACCACAUGAGAAUUUUUUAUUUUUUUUGAAAAAGUGUAGGUUGAAGAAGACUUAAUUUGAUUUGAUCCGACAGAUAUAUGUAACUUUAAACCAUUAAUGUCUUAGAGAUCUACAAAUAUAAUAACUUAAAGUACACAAACUUAUCAUGGCUCAGAUAAUUGCAAUUUUACUACCUGAGACAUUUAUUUUUCUCAUUUCAGUAUAUUGUGUUUUUCAAUUUCACCAAAAAUAGAAUUUUCAAAUUAAAAUUCUUUGGUAAAAAUAAAUUCAAAUUAUGCAGCUCUUUGGUAAGAAGAAGACGAAGAAGAAGAAGAAGAAGAAGACAGUACUGUAAUAUCCGCAAUCAUUCAUUUUUGUCAUUAUCAACACUUAAACCUCCUUGUUGGCCAAUGCAAGAGAUAUUAAUACUAGUCGUUGGCCAUAUAAUUCCACGUUCAAGAUUUCAAUCUAGAUAAGGAAUUGAUAACUUGUAGGGUCGCCAGAAUUGUCUUAGUACGUGAAGACUUUUGUGUAAGACUUGUGGUGGCCUUUGAUACGUCGUCAGGAGCAGUCUAUCAAAGUUUUUUUCAUAUAAAUUUUAUUUUGCUAUGACUGAUGAAUUUUAGCGGUAGCAAAAAGGUGGCCUGAAGGAGGAAUUUGAGUCCUAGCAAAAAGGGAGAGCCGAACCCGAAUCUUUAUCGUUAAAUAUCACAACUAAAAUGCAAAUAUAUAAUCAUACACCUUUAUUUCGACAUUAUAACUUUACGUAUAGCAAGUUGUCCCAACACAUGAAGCCAGUGAGCAAAUUUAUUCAGAACUAACUGCUUAGUGGAAAGAGGCAUAUUGCAUGGCAUUAUAGUUCAGUUACGGAGUUGUUUGAUAAUAAUCUAGAAAAAACACAACGAGCUUUGCUGUUCAAGUCUGUAAACAGAUUUAGCAUUUGCUUCAAGCUCCCGCAAGAAAGUACUUCCUCAUCGCCCCACGACUUGCGAUAUUGUUGCAUCAUCAACUGAACAAAUCUCUAAAUGCAAUUGCUCAGGUCUGUUUCCGUCGUCUUCAUCUGUCCUCACAGAAAAAGCAGGCCUUUUGGGAAUGGUCACAAUGGCAGUUUCGUUUUUGAGCAUUGAAGAAACUUCCAGCAUAGACGGCCUAUCAAUAGGAUUUUCUUGGACACAUAGCAGUGCAAUUUGCAAGCAUUUGAUCAAUUUACAAGAGGACAAUGUGUCAUCCAGCGAUGGAUCCAUGAUCUCCAUGCCUUUACCAUCUUUCCACAGCUCGUAAGCCUGCAAUUAACAAAAAUCAUAAUCAUGCAUGACAAAUGCAAAAUCUAAAAUAUCGUCAGUUGUGUUAUCAAGAAACUUACAUAUUCUAGGAGGCUUAAAUUUUCACCAGAAUCAUACAAGGAGCCAUUCUUCUUGCCGCUUAUGAUAUGCAGUAGUACCACUCCAAAACUGUAAACAUCAGAUUUUAUGGAAUACACGCCGUUUCUGACGUAUUCCGGAGGAACAUAACCGCUGCACAGGAUGAUUUCAUUCACAAUGUUAAGUUUUCAAAAAUAAUCUAUGUAUGAAAUGAAUUUGUGCAUGCAUCAUGCUUACUAUGUCCCAACAAGCCGGCUAGUGUUUGCUUCUUGUUCAUCUUUUGUGAAAAUUCUAGCCAUACCAAAAUCAGAUAUCUUAGGCUUCAUAUCCCCAUCCAGUAAAAUGUUGCUGGCUUUCAAGUCUCGAUGGAUAAUUGUCUGUCUCGAAUAUUCUUGGAGGUAUAGAAGGCCUUGAGUUAUCCCUUCAAUGAUUUCUGCCCUUUUCUUCCAAUCCAACAAAUAUCGCCUAAUCGGAUCUGUCGUAUCAGAUAACAAACUAUCAAGGCUAUAAGCAUUUUAGAUCUUACUGACACGAACAUGCAUAAGAAUGUUGGAAAUUGUAAUGCAAUGAAAGACUAGAUCACACUCAAAUCUUUUUUUAUUUCUGUAAAUCCAAGCAUAAAAGGAUGCUGAGUGCUAACCAUAUAGGUAACAGUCCAGGCUUUUUUUUGGCAUGUACUCAUAGACCAGCACCUUCUCUUCUCUGCCAACGCAAAAUCCCAAAACUUUCACGAGAUUUACAUGUUGUAAUUUUGCAGUGAGCAUAACCUCAUUCUUGAAUUCAUCAAAUCCUUGACUAGAGGAUUUCGAAAGUUUUUUAACUGCUAUUUCUUGUCCACCUGGUAAAACACCCUGGAAAAACAGAAUGUCAUGCUAAUUUCUCAAAGACUGAAAUCUGAAUGCUUGAAGAUUGCAAGGGGUUUAGAUAAGAAGAAUUUUAAUGAGUAUUCGGUAUAUUUUCAUCACAACAGAAAAAGAAUUGUUACAUCAUUUAUAUUAUAUGCUAACCACAACUACCUCCUAUAUCUUCUCCUAUAUUUAAGCUACUGGAAAGUUAAAAUAGAAUUGAAGUCUAUCUCUAGUAUACGAGUUUACCACAAUAUCAGUUUGCAAGUUAUCUUGAAUAUGCCUCCUAUAUCUUCCUGAUUCAACAGUUUGGAAGUUAUCUCCAAUAAAGAUAAGCAUGUCUUAUCCCUGCAAAAGAGAGAGAGUUUGUUGGGAAAUCCGUCGACCGGUGAUGUACUGAUUAUUACUCAUAUGAAGGGUAAGCACACUGACACAAUAUUUUACGUUGUUCGGCAAAUCGCCUACAUCCACGGAAAAGACAAUAUUAUUAGUGAUAUAUAGAGAAAGGAUUACAACACACAUGGAGGAGGAGGAUCACUUCACUCACUCUACUCACUGCUCUUACAGCUGCAAUGGCUGCAGGGCUACUGCCCAUGGCAGCAGCUCUUUCUCUCCUCUUUCUCUUCACACUCUCUGCGUUCUCUCACUCUCUCAUUACUCUCAAAUAAUUAUGCCUCUUUUAUAGGCAUUUCAUGGUCAACAUGGAGGGGCCAAUACUGCCUUAAAACAUGGCAUGAAUUAUGGCAUAAUUCAUGCUCCCACUUGUACAAGUUGUAGUGGAGUAGUUACCACAAUAAUGACAACUUCCUAACAAUCACCCCCUUUGCCAUUUAUGUGGGCAGUUGUCCUCUUGAUUCUUCAGCAUAAGCUUGCAUCUUGCAGCUCUUCCACGCUUACCAUUCUAAGAGCGUCUGUGGCCAAGUUUACAGGUACUCGCGCAACCUUUCAAUCACCAGAGUCACCAAAGCACACCCUUGCUUACACCAAAGGAUCACUUCAACCAGAUGGUCUCACACAUCACAUCUGAAGAGUGUUCGCGUUUGUCUCUAGGAUACAACAUUCCCCUUUGAGCGUAUCAUCCAUGCUCGGUCCGGAAUGAUUCACCAAGCCUCACACCAAGGCUUACAACACCCCCUCAAACGGAUAUUCCAAGUGCGACAAUCAUUAUCUGAGUAUCUCAAUAUGAUCACUAGCUCACCACUCUUCUAAGAGUCUACUCAUCCUGGAGUUGCGCCUGCCCUCUGUUCCACCGUAGGAACCACACCUUACUUCUCCGUGAGUCUCUCACUCUUAGUCUCAAGAGUCCAGGUAGCUAUCCACCUUUAACCAUGGGGGCAGCCCAUUAAAGGUUGAUCCAUAUAUGUCUUGAUACUGUGAGUAUUACAAUGCCUUCACCGAGCUCACCACCUUGACAAGAGUCGACUUGUUCCCGGAACCUGCGCAUGCCCUCUGCUCCUUCAUAGCAGUCGCGUCUUAAUGCUCCACAAGUCAUCCACUUAUUGUCCAAGACAAAUGUCUUCUAGCUCAUUGAUCUUUAGCAUGGGGACAAUAUCCAUGAAAGUCAAUCCUGCAUUUGUCUCCAUACUCAUCAUAGUCACUCCAUUGACUAUACACCUAUCCACUUAUGUCUAGCCAUCACAUUGGCUCUAGGGCGUUCUGAACUGGGGCUCCUAUCCUGGCCCUCACACCUUCCUCUAAGGUGUCUCCGCCUGUUGUCAUGGGGCGGUCUCAUCCUCCUUCAUCGGGAUGACUCCAGUGGCUCCAAGAUUCUCUACCACCAUGUGGACUUGGGAGAGAUUACUGCCACUGAUUAUAUAGAAAGAGAAAGUUGCGGCAUACUCCUCGCAAGAUGGGGCGGUCUCAUCCUCCUUCAUCGGGAUGACUCCAGUGGCUCCAAGAUUCGCUACCACCAUGUGGACUUGGGAGAGAUUACUGCCACUGAUUAUAUAGAAAGAGAAAGUUGCGGCAUACUCCUCGCAAUCCUCCACCUCGAUUUCUAUGUAUGGAGCUUCUACGCCUUUCUACUUGACAGCUCCACCUACACCAAUUCUCUUUGAUGUCUUCGCCUUUCAUCAUAGGUGUUUGCACCCCCUCAAUUAGGUGCCUCUACAACAGCUCAUCUUUCCAUCCUUGCAUGCAUUGGAAAGGUCCUUGCUUGUUGCCUUUAUCAAGAGCACAAGAGACUUCCUGUUGUACAUCCUUCACAUAGUCUCUGCUCUGAGCUUCAUCUGGGAACUCUUCUUCUCCUUGCACUUAUUGUCUCAUAACAGUACCUCGUUGGAUCCUUCGGGUACUCUUGCACAAUCUCCGUGUGCCCUCGUGCAAUUUCUGUUCUCCAGAUUUCUCCAUAUUCCUUGCUUAUGUUUGACAGCAGCUCAUCCCGUCACAACACCUGACCAAGUCAAAAUAGGGUGUCAAUCUUUAUCCCCUUGCUGUAUUUCUCUUCCAUUAUCAGGGUCUUCAUCAAUCUCCCCUCGAGAAAUUAUAGUCACCGAAUCUAACUUCUUUGGAGAAAUCACCACUCCAUCAGAUCCUUGAUCAUACGGAACCCAACUGUUCCUUUGUGCCGUCGUCUUGCUAGUCUUCAACAGUUUCAUAACAAACUGUUACAUAUACGAAAAUAGUACCGUAUGGAUAAUCCUUCCACUAAGCAAGUUCCCAGGAAAGAUUGGAGGGGUCACACUCCUAAACAGAACUUCUUAGGCCAUAUCUAUCCAUUGUAUUGUCUUUUUGUAUAUACAACCAUUUGCUAGCUUUGUUGCGGCUUUCCUUUACAAGUGAUCUGGGUAUCCUGGUUUCAUACCUGAUUUCUCAACAUCUGGCGAGACUACCGGUGCUUAGAUUCAUCAAGAUUGGUCUUCGUCAAUUUUCACUCUCCACCUCUAAUUGUCCAUAUGACCAGGUGUCCAGAGUGUCCCAAUUUUACCUUCCAUCAAGGCAAUAAAUUUCCCCAUUUAGUAGUUCAGCACAUGUAAUUGGGCAAACAUGUGCACCUUCUUUUUCUUCAUCUCCAUCGACCUCAAUCCAGACCCUCAGAUGCCUCCUGAUCGGGCAAUCUAUCAUUAAUAAUACACCACUGCCAUUUUUGGUCUCGAAUUUCAACGAUCGGAUCGUACCAUUGCAUCCGGAAUGAUCAAAUUAGCUGGAAACAUGUCUUGAAUCGUCCAAAUCGCACUUCAGACGGCUAAGAUUUGAUCAAAACAAUUUUGCCCUAAUUAACGGCUCAGAUUCAAUCUCAGCUUUGGUUGCACGUAGGAUCAGCUACACUGGAUCCUAUCCCUCGGCUCGGCUCCAUCAGCUCGGCUCCACUUGGCUCAGCUCCAUCGGCUCGGCGCACGCUGCUGACAUGGCAUGUGGGCCCACUAUGUUGACGUCACCAUUACAUCAUGCUGAUGUCAUCAUGGGCCAUGCUUACUGUGCAUGAUGACAUCACAAAUACAUCAUGCGGAUGUCAUCCUUAUUCGGGUCAGCCACGUGGGUCGGGUCGGCCCGAGCGAAGAAGACGCGUGUGACACGUGGCGCAAGUCUGCGCGUGUGGGCAGCGACCUCGUCGGCGCGUGAAGAAGAGUCCGACCUCUGAUUUCGACGUCGUAUUCACCAGUGGCUUCGUCUCUUCCUCCUCUACACGGUGGUAUGGUCAAAACACAAUUUUGGCAACUUUAAUUUUUUAGCAAAAAUCAAACACCACUUAAACCAUAUGCUCUGAUACCAAUUGUUGGGAAAUCCAUCGACCGGUGAUGUACUGAUUAUUGCUCAUAGGAGGGGUAAGCACACUGACACAAUAUUUUAUGUGGUUCAGCAAAUCGCCUACAUCCACGGGAGAGACAAUAUUAUUAGUGAUAUAUAGAGAAAGGAUUGCAACACACAUGGAGGAGGAGGAUCACUUCACUCACUCUACUCACUGCUCUUGCAGCUGCAAUGGCUGCAGGGCUACUGCCUAUGGCAGCAGCUCUUUCUCUCCUCUUUCUCUUCACACUCUCUGCGUUCUCUUACUCUCUCAUUACUCUCAAAUAAUUAUGCCUCUUUUAUAGGCAUUUCAUGGUCAACAUGGAGGGGCCAAUACUGCCUUAAAACAUGGCAUGAAUUAUGACAUAAUUCAUGCUCCCACUUGUACAAGUUGUAGUGGAGUAGUUACCACAAUAAUGGCAACUUCCUAACAGAGUUUUCUAAAUGGCAGGAGACAGACACUUAAUGACUCCAUUUUCACAAGUGGAACAUGUCUCUAGAAAUGCUUACUCACAGUCCAUUCUUGCAAAUGGUUCCAUAUCUCCAUGAAUCCUCAACAAAAUAUAGCAUCAUGAGUUGAAGAGUAAUGUCCCAUUGUAACCUAUAAAGAAUAAUUAGUUAAUUACCUUGUAAACAGGGCCAAAUCCACCCUCCCCAAGCUUAUUUUCAAAUGCAAACUGGUCUGUAGCUUUCUCAAUAUCUGCCAAACUAUAUACUAUCAGAUCAGGAUUAUUGCUGUCGAAGUCGCCUGCUGCUGCCGCAUUAUUUACUUUCAACUUUGUUUCUUUACUCUUUGAUUUGAGGAUUCUAAUUCUUAUGAAAUAAAAUGCCAAGCCCAGUAGAGUAAUAACAGCAGCAGUUGUUGUCAAGAUGAUAAUCAAUAUACGGGAUUUUGGUCGUCGUUCGUGUUUGGGAUCAACCCCUCCACCUGAGUCAACCCCCCCAGCUGAGUCAACCCCCCCAGCUGAGGACAUAAACAUAAUAUGUGAAUUAGGGAUCAGAAUUGUCUGUGUCCAGUAAAUUUUAAAAGAUUAUUCAAGGAUGAUAAAAGAUUAUUCAAGAAAGAUUUAAAAGAAAAUGAUGCAGAUGUUUUGCAUAAAAAAAUGUAAUCACAGAUUAUUCAAGGAUGAUAAAUCAUUAUUUUUUGGCAGCCAGAUGGUACCAAUUGUCGAAUUUAUAUAGGCAGACAAUAUCCAACCAUCUAAACACACAAAAGAUUAAAAAAAACUGCAAGUAGGUACACAAUCAUGCAUUAUAUAUGACAAGCCUUAAUGACAAAUAGCUGAUGAUGGCCUUUUGGUUUUACCCUGAAGCAAGUAGGAAUUCAUAAGAAUUCAGAUAAAAAGAAUAUCUGGCAAGAUUCUCUAUAUAUUGCACCUUAACAAUCAAAUUAAUCAAUCAAGGCCAACCUCUUGACAUUAUUGUUAUCACGAUGGUCAAAGAACCAUUUUGUGGCUUAAGAACAUUCCCAUACCUGCUCGAGAAAGUACCCAGUUGUCAUCAUGAGGGACUUCCCAUACAACAUAUCCGAGGAGGGCCUUCUCCUUGGCAUAAGAAACCUUUGUUCUAACAACAUCAACACCAUCAAAACUAAUCCAAGCUGACCCUACGAUGCCGUAAUUUACCACAUAAGUGGAAUUGUAGAUAGGAUCAACUCUUCCGUUUGCUUUGAAAUAAUUAUUGAUAUCUUUAUAGCUCAUGUAUCCAUCGUUUGUAACGACCGGUCCCGUUGCUGGUGCGCCAAUGGCAUUUUCAUUCGGGUUUGCAAGUUUCCACGCACAACCAUAGAAAGGCAAACCUAAAACCAACUUACUAGCUGGUAAUCCUCUAUUAAUCCAUGCUCUUAUUCCAAAAUCAGUGUUAAGAUCACUAUCAGGAUCAUACAAAGCUGCAGAAGCAGCAGUAAAGUGAUCCCGUGUAGGCAUGUAGUAGCCAUAAGCCAGUACAUGAAUCCAAUUCAAAUUCUUCCGUAUAGAGUCUAUAGGGAAACUCCCGUGAUCCAGUCUUGGCGAGUACUGAACGACUGCUGUCAGGAUGAGUUCUGACAGGCUAGAGUUUCUUCUCUCCAAAGUAAUAGCAGCACGCCACUCUUCGAGGAGGGUACCCAUACUGUCCAUGUGAUCGCUUGUGUUGGCCGCAAGCCAGGUGCAGUCUAGCCCUUGAAAGCCAUAAUGCCUCGCUAUUUUUAUUGAGUCAUCUAUGAAAGACUUCCUGUAAGUAGAAUUGCCUGCCAUUGCAGAGAAUGUUGAAUAGUUUGUGCUUCCUCCAAUGGAUAGUAAGGUAGUGAUCGAUGGAUUCUUCUGUUUUACGGUGUUUGUGAAGGCAGAGAAGAGUUGGUCAUCUGAGGAGGAGAUA
rnacentral:lncRNA from 1 species